GAUGAACGCUGGCGGCGUGCCUAAUACAUGCAAGUCGAGCGAACAGACGAGGAGCUUGCUCUUCUGACGUUAGCGGCGGACGGGUGAGUAACACGUGGAUAACCUACCUAUAAGACUGGGAUAACUUCGGGAAACCGGAGCUAAUACCGGAUAAUAUAUUGAACCGCAUGGUGCAAUAGUGAAAGACGGUUUUGCUGUCACUUAUAGAUGGAUCCGCGCCGCAUUAGCUAGUUGGUAAGGUAACGGCUUACCAAGGCAACGAUGCGUAGCCGACCUGAGAGGGGGGUCGGCCACCUGGGAACGUGAACACGGUCCAGAGUCCUACGGGAGGCAGCAGUAGGGAAUCUUCCGCAGUGGGCGAAAGCCUGACGGAGCAACCCCGCGUGAGUGAUGACGGUCUUCGGAUCGUAAAACUCUGUUAUUAGGGAAAAACAAAUGUGUAAGUGAAUAUGCACGUCUUGACGGUACCUAAUCAGAAAGCCACGGCUAACUACGUG
rnacentral:rRNA from 1 species